rfam:Ictidomys tridecemlineatus contig101809, whole genome shotgun sequence.
GGGGUCGUAGCUCAGCGGUAGAGCGCUCGCCUGGCACGUGCGAGACCCUGGGUUCGAUCCUCUGCACCACCU